GACGAACGCUGGCGGCGUGCUUAACACAUGCAAGUCGAACGGAAAGGCCCUGCUUUUGUGGGGUGCUCGAGUGGCGAACGGGUGAGUAACACGUGAGUAACCUGCCCUUGACUUUGGGAUAACUUCAGGAAACUGGGGCUAAUACCGGAUAGGAGCUCCUGCUGCAUGGUGGGGGUUGGAAAGUUUCGGCGGUUGGGGAUGGACUCGCGGCUUAUCAGCUUGUUGGUGGGGUAGUGGCUUACCAAGGCUUUGACGGGUAGCCGGCCUGAGAGGGUGACCGGCCACAUCGGGACUGAGAUACGGCCCAGACUCCUACGGGAGGCAGCAGUGGGGAAUAUUGCACAAUGCGCGGAAGCCUGAUGCAGCAACGCCGCGUGCGGGAUGACGGCCUUCGGGUUGUAAACCGCUUUCGCCUGUGACGAAGCGUGAGUGACGGUAAUGGGUAAAGAAGCACCGGCUAACUACGUG
rnacentral:rRNA from 1 species